UCAGGACGAACGCUGGCGGCGUGCCUAACACAUGCAAGUCGAGCGAGGAGAUCCUCGGGAUGAUCCUAGCGGCGGACGGGUGAGUAACACGUGGGCAACCUGCCUCAUAGAGAGGAAUAGCCUUCCGAAAGGAGAUUAAUACCUCAUAACAUUGCAGUUUCGCAUGGAACAGCAAUUAAAGGAGCAAUCCGCUAUGAGAUGGGCCCCGCGGCGCAUUAGCUAGUUGGUGAGGUAACGGCUCACCAAGGCGACGAUGCGUAGCCGACCUGAGAGGGUGAUCGGCCACAUUGGGACUGAGACACGGCCCAGACUCCUACGGGAGGCAGCAGUGGGGAAUAUUGCACAAUGGGGGAAACCCUGAUGCAGCCAACGCCGCGUGAGUGAUGACGGCCUUCGGGUUGUAAAGCUCUGUCUUCAGGGACGAUAAUGACGGUACCUGAGGAGGAAGCCACGGCUAACUACGUGCCAGCAGCUGC
rnacentral:rRNA from 1 species